GUGAACGCUGGCGGUAGGCCUAACACAUGCAAGUCGAACGGCAGCACAGUAAGAGCUUGCUCUUACGGGUGGCGAGUGGCGGACGGGUGAGGAAUACAUCGGAAUCUACUUUUCGUGGGGGAUAACGUAGGGAAACUUACGCUAAUACCGCAUACGACCUACGGGUGAAAGCAGGGGAUCUUCGGACCUUGCGCGAUUGAAUGAGCCGAUGUCGGAUUAGCUAGUUGGCGGGGUAAAGGCCCACCAAGGCGACGAUCCGUAGCUGGUCUGAGAGGAUGAUCAGCCACACUGGAACUGAGACACGGUCCAGACUCCUACGGGAGGCAGCAGUGGGGAAUAUUGGACAAUGGGCGCAAGCCUGAUCCAGCCAUACCGCGUGGGUGAAGAAGGCCUUCGGGUUGUAAAGCCCUUUUGUUGGGAAAGAAAAGCAGCAGGUUAAUACCCCGCUGUUCUGACGGUACCCAAAGAAUAAGCACCGGCUAACUUCGUG
rnacentral:rRNA from 1 species